rnacentral:lncRNA from 1 species
AAAACCAAACUUACAAUUAUACACAACCAAAAAGGGCCAAAACCAACAGAAAACAAGAAAGGGGCCCCACAACACUGAAGCCCAAAAAAACACAGAACAACCAACCGAGAAGCUUCUACUGAAAUCUCCUCCACCGACAGAGAUCCAAGCCAGCCACCGGAAACGUCAUCCAUCACCGAGCAUCGCCGCCUCAGACAACACCGCCAACCCCGAACAGCAACCAGAUCACAGCCAUUAACAGGAGAUAAUUGGCACCAAACAGGGAUUACAUUGGAGUUGCAUAGUACGAACAAUUCGGACUUAUUACAUUGAGGUUACAUGUCACUUACAUGCGAAAUUUAGUAUGACAGUAUCACGAUACGAGGAUAAACCAAUUUAACAUUUGAUUUCUCUCCUCCCACAUUUUCCUUUCACUAUGUCUUAUCGAAACUCAAACAUCUUGCAUUGGCAUCGCCCUCAAAUGCUCGGCCUCACGUUAAGACGAGACGCCAGUUUUUGACCAAAGGAUCGGUCAGCCUGCAUUUCAAUUACCACCAGCACACGUCAUAUUCCCGUACGAAAUCACAUCCAACUAUUACCAAUUCACAAAUGCGAAUACUUUGCAAGUAUGCACUCACCUGAGACCAGUAUGAGAUCCAAAUGCUGCGAAUUUCAUGGGUGACACGAGGUUCGGAUAGGACAUCAACCCAUCGGUGGAGGAAUCGCUCUUGCCUGCAAUGAACAUUUAGAUUAUGAAAAUGACGUUUAAAUACAUAUAUUUUCCACAUAGAGACAUCAUAGGGUUGGCAGCUACCUGUCGGGUGCCCAAGAUCUGUAUCUCUCUCCAGGUUGCUUGAAGUUGUUCUCCUUCUCAAUGACGCACUGCAUAUCCAACCAAACCACCAUACACAAAUUAAACGCAAAGUUGCUACAUGAAUCAUGAUGUGCAGUACUCCAAAAGGAUUCAGACAUGCAACAAGCAUUCGUGCAUGGCUCUAACUUUUUACAUUCCAAGUGCCUUCAAGUUUCACAUAAAUAGAAAAACACAGAAAACAAGAACAUGGGGAAAACUAAGGGAAAUUAAAAUGAAUUCUUUUACAGUGAUACAAACUGACCUUCUCACGCUUUCCAGUGCAGAUAUUAGAAGGAAUUGGGAAGGUCUCAGCAUGGCGAGCAGGAUCAUACCUUGAUGGGAAGUAAUUAACCUACAGAACAGUAUGGCAUCUAAGCAGAGAAAACUUCGAUGAACAAAAAGCAAAAAUUGAAGUACAUGUCUGAAUCUUGGUCAAUGCAAGUGUAAAAAGACACAAAGGCAUUCAAUAAGCCUCAACAAUCGAGGGAAAAAGUGGUAUUAUACUUGGAAAGGAAAUUCUAAAAAGCAAAAGUACCUCCUCAUCCCUAUGCAUGAAAUUCAUAAAUCCUUCAUGGUGAUUGUUGUGUGAUGAGAACACUUGGGAGCAUUAACUGGGAGCUGCAAAUAGUUCGGGCCAAGACGGUGCCUCUGAGUAUCAGAAUAGGAGAAGAUUCGAGUUUGGAGCAACUUAUCAUCUGAAUAGUAGACACCAGGGACAACAAUGGCAGGGCAGAAAGCAAGUUGUUCAUUCUCUGCAAAGAAGUUAUCAAUGUUCUUAUUCAGUACCAAACGGCCAACCGGCUGCAGGGGAAGAAUAUCUUCAGGCCAGGUCUUAGUAACAUCAAGUGGGUCAAAGUCAAAUCUGUCUUCUUGAUCAGGAUCAAUUGUCUGAAUAAAAAGUUUCCACUCCGGGUAGUUGCCAGCUGCGAUGGAGUCAUAGAGAUCCUUGGUAGCGUGGCUGUGAUUAGCUCCUCCAACCUUAAUAGCCUCAUCCUCCAACAAACACUUGACUCCACAAGUGGGUUUCCAAUGAAAUUUCACGUAGUGUGCCUUCCCGGCCUUACUGAUAAGAGUAUAGGUGGUUAACACCAGACCCUUCCAUGUGCCUGUAAUCUUGUGGAACUCCCAGGUCAUCCAACAGGAAGGUGAACAUGUGGAGGCUUUCUGGAUGGUGGGAGAAGAAGUCAAGGAUCCUCCAAUUCUCUUGGAUGUGGGACUUAGGGUUUGGUUUGAGAGCAUGGACCAUGUCCGGGAAUUUCAUUCCAUCGCGGACAAAAAAGAUGGGGAAAUUGUUUCCCACCAAAUCAAAAUUACCCUGUUUAAGAAAAAUAAAGUCACGAGCAUGGGUAAAGAAAGGAAUGCAUGUAUAAACAAGCAAAAACAUUAGGACCAAAUGAUUUCCAAGAGUUAGUUAAUAAUAAUGUUACAAAGAAAUCAACAAUCUGUAGAAUCAAAACAAUAUUUAAAAAAUAAAAUAAAAGGAUGAAUGCCAUAUUUCAUGGAAGUCACAACACUACUGGGUUUAGUUAAAUAUGACUAAAGUACUUGUCACUGGAGCUGUGACUAGAGAUACCACCGCAUAUUUUUAACUACAAAUAUGCUGUUGAAUAUAAUUAUGAUCAGCGACGUGUGAAACUCAACUAUCAUUAUCCAGAGGUCAUAAAAGAUCAAUAAGCCAUUGAAACCUCACCUCUCUGGUGUAAAACUUCACCGCAAAACCACGAGGAUCCCUCAGGGUUUCAGGGCUGCCACGCUCAUGGAUAACAGUGGAGAAACGCACAAUGACAGGUGUCUGAACUCCAGGGGCUCGAAGGAAGUCAGCACAUGUAAGGUGAGAAAUAUCAUGGGUGACCUCAAAGAAACCUUUUGCACUGGCUCCCCUAGCAUGGACAACACGCUCUGGGAUCCGUUCUCUAUCAAAAUUGGCGAGUUUCUCCACCAGAUGGUAGUCCUCGAGCAGAAUUGGACCUGACAAGUAGACAAAGAAUUAAAUUCUUAACUGCAUCUACUCAACUCGACAUAAUCAACCAUCCCGAUUACAUGCAAAAGAUGUGAUAAGAAUGAAACUAGCGGUUAUACAUUUUAUAAAGUAUGUCAAAUAUAGAUGACUGCUAUCACUUGCAAAGAUAGUAACUUUUAUUUAGUUUCAGGCAACCAGACGAUCAAAAAAUCUAUCUUGACAACCUGAGAGGCAAAGAAAAAAAGGGACCGGCAGGAAUUCAUUGAAAACCAACAGACUGGGAACUAUAGUUGAGAAAUUUAAACAUAAAUGCCGAAUAGGGAAAGUUCUAACUUCAAAAACAAACUAUAUAAAUAAGUAAAUAUAUAUAAAUAUAUAUCAGAAAAACAACAAGAGUUUCAAAAUAGCAAUCAUCUUCAACUUGGUAGUGAUACAAACAUCCAAAAAGUCAUCUUGUAGUUCACAAUAACAUGGACAGAAUAUCGAUGCAUACACAGAUUACAGCAUCAAAACAUGAUUAUGAUUAUUCACAAGGUGCUCGAGAAGCGAUGUGCAACUAAAAAACCACAAAAAGGUAAAACUUGAAGAAAAUUUGCAAUUGAAAAUCCGUCAAAAGCAAAUAAACAAAUAGAUAAAUCAAAAGUGGAUUAAGAAUUAAAUCACCUCUCGGUCCAACAGUGAGAGAAGAGUUGUUGUUCCAAACUGGAGCACCGGAAUUGGUGGUCCAGAACGGGGAAUUGAAAGCACUUGAAGGGCGGUGCUGCAACACACACGAAAACAAACCAACCCAAAACCAUUAGAGAGGGCUUUGUUUGGUGGCCGAGAAAAUAAACAAGAAAAGUAAUUCAACAAGAAAAUCAAACUUAAAUCAAUCAAAUUAAGAGCAUAAACAAGUAAAAAAGAAAAAACCCCAGAAAGAUUAAGAUUAAGAUUAGCGUGUUACCCUGUAAGGAUCCAUGGAGGAAGGUCGGGUUAGAGAGAGAGCUUGAUGGAGAAGGUAAGAGGUGAGCAGAGGAAGGGGGUAAGCCACUCACUCACUCAGAUGGGGCAAUCGAAGGCUGAAAUGUAAGCAAAUUUGGUGGAUUUAUAAACGCUGACUUUCGGCUUUGGGUAUGGGUCGUGGGCGUGGCUCACGCUUUUGUGUGAAAUUUCCAUUUUCCGCUCUCGGCCUCACGUUAUCUUUAUCCACACACACACACAGCUGGAAGGUCACUACGUAUCUUUGCCAAUUUAUCGUCACUACAUAUCUUUGCCUAUAAACUACGUACGCAUCCGCAUGGCUAUAAAAGUAUGACUACACAACAUCUCGCAUAGAAACAGUGAAAAUCGGUGCCUGCAACCGGCACUUGUUACAUUUUUUUUUUGGAAAAAGUUUGACUGUAGUAAAACUACGUCAAAACUUCCUCAACUUUUAUUAAACAAGUCCAAAAUUACAAGUAAACAAGAAACCCAACUUACAAUUAUACACAAUCAAAAAGGACCGAAACCAACAGAAAACAAGAAAGAGGCCCCACAACAAUGAAGCCCCAAAAAAAACACAGAACAACCAACCGAGAAGCUUCUGCUGAAAUCUCCUCCACCGACAGAGAUCCAAGCCAGCCACCGGAAACGUCAUCCAUCACCGAGCAUCGCCGCCUCAGACAACACCGCCAACCCCGAACAGCAACCAGAUCACAUCCAUUAACAGGAGAUAAUUGGCACCAAACAGGGAUUACAUUGGAGUUGCAUAGUACGAACGAUUCGGACUUAUUACAUUGAGGCUACAUGUCACUUACAUGCGAAAUUUAGUGUGACAGUAUCACGAUACUCAAAACAUCUUGCAUUGGCAUCGCCCUCAAAUGCUCGGCCUCACGUUAAGACGAGACGCCAGUUUUUGACCAAAGGAUCGGUCAGCCUGCAUUUCAAUUACCACCAGCACACAUCAUAUUCCAGUACGAAAUCACAUCCAACUAUUACCAAUUCACAAAUGCGAAUACUUUGCAAGUAUGCACCCACCUGAGACCAGUAUGAGAUCCAAAUGCUGCGAAUUUCAUGGGUGACACGAGGUUCGGAUAGGACAUCAACCCAUCGGUGGAGGAAUCGCUCUUGCCUGCAAUGAACAUUUAGAUUAUGAACAUGACGUUUAAAUACAUAUAUUUCCACAUAGAGACAUCAUAGGGUUGGCAGCUACCUGUCGGGUGCCCAAGAUCUGUAUCUCUCUCCAGGUUGCUUGAAGUUGUUCUCCUUCUCAAUGACGCACUGCAUUUCCAACGAAACCACCAUACACAAAUUAAACGCAAAGUUGCAAUAUGAAUCAUGAUGUGCAGCGCACCAACAGGAUUCAGAAAUGCAACAAGCAUCCAUGCAUGUAUCUAACUUUUUACAUUCCAAGUGCUUUCAAGUUUCAAGUAAAAAAGAAAAUGAGAAAUUAGGUUCUCAUCCUUCAUUUUACUAUUUCAUUGAUUAAAAUUCUAUUUAUUUUUAAUUUUUUAUCAAGAUCCUUGGUAUUAAUAAUAUCAUUAAUUAUUUCAAUACUAAAAUAUUUUUUAUUUCUAAAUAUAUUCAUUUAAUGUUAAAAUGUUACAAUUAGUAUAUUUAUAUUUAUGACUAAAUUUUUUAUCAUAUAUUUUUAGUUUUAGUUUGUACCCUUUUUAAUUUGUAAUUCUUUUUUAAUUUGUUCUAAUUUUCUUUUCAAUUUUAAUUUGUACCCAUAUAUUAAUUUUUUUUUGUGCCCAUAUUUUUUAAAGUUUAUUUUUAUUUGUACCCAUAUUUUUUUUUAUACUUUUUAUUUUGCUAAAUGUACCCAUGCUAAUUAUAUGUACCCAUUCAUGUAAAACUUUUUAAUCUUAAAAUGUACUCAUUCUUAAAUAUACCAAUUUGUUAUAUGUAAAAUGUACCAUUUUUUAUAUAUAAUCUAUUCAAUGUUUUAAAUCCAUUUUUAAACUUAUAUGGGUACAUUCUUUUUUCUUUGAUUUUAAAAUGUAUCCAUGUCAAGUUUAAUCGAAGCAAUUUACUAAUGUUAUUAAGUCUAAUAUCUUUUUUUUUUGUUGUGAUUUUGAAGAAUGUACCCAUGUUUUGAUACAAUCAUUUUUUUGGUUAAUUUUGUUGAAUGUACCCAUGUUUAUAUAUAUGGGCACACAAUAGUAUAUUUAUAUUUUACUAUUUUUAAUCCCACAAAUUAUAGUUUUUUUUAUUUAAAAUCUCAUUUAUAUAAACUAAAAUUUCAAAUUUUUAAUUUAAAAAAUAUAGUAACAUACAUAGAAAUAAAUUAUCGCAUUGAUUUCAAGAACCUCAAUCAAAAAUUAAAAACCAACAAUUUUUAAAUCAAAGAAUAUUCAUAGUUAAGGACCGCAUCCAAAGUCUCCCGGAGAAAUUAGGUUCUAAUCCUUCAUUUUACUAUUUCAUUGAUUAAAAUCCUAUUUCUUUUUAAUUUUUUAUCAAGGUCCUUGGGUAUUAAUAAUAUCAUUAAUUAUUUCAAUAAUAAAUUAAUUUUUAUUUCUAAAUAUAUUCAUUUAAUGUUUAAAAUGUUACAAUUAGUAUAUUUAUAUUUAUGAUUAAAUUUUUUAUCAUAUAUUUUUAGUUUUAGUUUGUACCCAUUUUUAAUUUGUAAUUCUUUUUUAAUUUGUACCAAUUUUCUUUUCAAUUUUAAUUUAUAUCCAUAUAUUAAUUUCUUUUUGUGCCCAUAUUUUUUAAAGUUUAUUUGUAUUUGUACCCAUAUAUUUUUUUUAUUUAUACUUUUUAUUUUGCUAAAUGUAUCCAUGCUAAUUAUAUGUACCCAUUCAUGUAAAACUUUUUAAUCUUAAAAUGUACUCAUUCUUAAAUAUACCAAUUUGUUAUAUGUAAAAUGUACCAUUUUUUUAUAUAUAAUCUAUUCAAUGUUUUAAAUCCAUUUUUAAACUUAUAUGGGUACAUUCUUUUUUCUAUGAUUUUAAAAUGUAUCCAUGUCAAGUUUCAUCGAAGAAAUUUACUAAUGUUAAGUCUAAUAUCUUUCUUCUUUUUUUUUGUGAUUUUGAAGAAUGUACCCAUGUUUUGAUACAAUAAUUUUUUUGGUUAAUUUUGUUGAAUGUACCCAUGUUUAUAUAUAUAUAUAUAUAUACACACACAAUAGUAUAUUUAUAUUUUAAUAUUUUUAAUCCCACAAAUUAUGGUUUUUUUAUUUAAAAUCUCAUUUAUAUAAAUAAAUAAAAUUUCUAAUUUUUAAUUUAAAAAAUAUAGUAACAUACAUAGAAAUAAAUUAUCAUAUUGAUUUCAGGGAUCUCAAUCAAAAAUUAAAAACCAACAAGAUUUCAAUAAAAAAAUAUUCAUAGUUAAGGACCGCAUCCAAAGUAUCCUAAAAGAAAAACACAGAAAACAAGAACAUGGGAAAACUAAGGAAAUUUAAAUGAAUUAUUCUACAUUGAUACAAACUGACCUUCUCACGCUUUCCAGUGAAAAUAUUAGAAGGAAUUGGGAAGGUCUCAGCAUGGCGAACAGGAUCAAACCUUGAUGGGAAGUAGUCAAUCUACAGAAAACAGUAGGGCAUCUGAGCAGAGAAAACUUUGAUGAACAAACAAGUGAAAAUUUAAGUAGACGUCCGAAUCUUGAGCAACGCAAGUGUAAAAAGGGUAAAAGGCAUUCAAUAAGCGUCAGCAAUUGAGGGGGAAAGUGGUAUUGCACUUGGAAAAGAAAAUCAUAAGAGCAAAAGUACCUCCUCAUCUCUGUGCAUGAAAUUCAUAGAUCCGUCAUAGUGAUUGUUGUGAUGAGCACACUUGGGAGCAUUAACUGGGAGCUGCAGAUAGUUGGGGCCAAGACGGUGCCUCUGAGUAUCAGAAUAGGCGAAGAGUCGAGUUUGGAGCAUCUUAUCAUUUGAAUAAUAGAUACCAGGGACAACAAGGGCCGGGUUGAAAGCAAGUUGUUCAUUCUCUGCAAAGAAGUUAUCAAUGUUCUUAUUCAGUACCAAACGGCCAACAGGCUGCAGGGGAAGAAGAUCUUCGGGCCAGGUCUUAGUAUCAUCAAGUGGGUCAAAGUCAAAUCUGUCUUCAUGAUCAGGAUCCAUUAUCUGAAUAAAAAGUUUCCACUCCGGGUAGUUGCCAGCUUCAAUUGAGUCAUAGAGAUCCUUGGUAGCGUGGCUGUGAUUAGCUCCUCCAACCUUAAUAGCCUCGUCCUCCAACAAACACUUGACUCCACAAGUGGGCUUCCAAUGAAAUUUCACGUAGUGUACCUUCCCGGCCUUGCUGAUAAGAGUAUAGGCGUGUACACCAAAGCCUUCCAUGUGCCUGUAAUCUUGUGGAACUCCCACGUCAUCGAAUAGGAAGGCGAACGUGAGCAGGCUUUCUGGAUGGUGAGAUAAGAAGUCAAGGACCCUCCAAUAUUCUUGGAUGUGGGACUUAGGGUUCGGUUUGAAAGCAUGGAUCACGUCCGGGAAUUUCAUUGCAUCACGGACAAAAAAGACGGGGAAAUUGUUUCCCACCAAGUCCCAAUUACCCUGUUUAAGAAGAACAAGGUGACAACAUGAGUAAAGUAUUUGUCACUGGAGCUGCCUGUGACUAGAGAUACCACUGUGUAUUUUUUACUAUAAAUAUGUUGUUGAAUAUAAUAUGAUCAUCGACGUGUCAUUAUCCCGAGGUUAUAAAACAUGAAUAAGCCAUUGAGACCUCACCUCUCUGGUGUAAAACUUCACUGCAAAACCACGAGGAUCCCUUAUGGUUUCAGGGCUGCCACGCUCAUGGAUAACAGUGGAGAAACGCACAAUGACAGGUGUCUGAACUCCAGGGGCUCGAAGGAAGUCAGCACAUGAAAGGUGAGAAAUAUCAUGAGUGACCUCAAAGAAACCUUUUGCACUGGCUCCCCUAGCAUGGACAACACGCUCUGGGAUCCGUUCUCUAUCAAAGUUGGCGAGUUUCUCCACCAGAUGGUAGUCCUCAAGCAGAACCGGACCUGACAAAUAGACAAAGAAUUAAAUUCUUAACUGCAUCUACUCAACUCGACAUAACCAACCAUCCCGAUCACAUGCAAAAGUCAGAGAAGAGUUAAAUCACCUCUGGGUCCUACAGUGAGAGAAGAGUUGUUGUUCGAAACUGGAGCACCGGCAUUGGUGGUCCAGAACGGGGAAUUGAAAGCACUUGAAGGGCGGUACUGCAACAACACACAAAAACAAACAAACCCAAAUCCAUGAGAGAGGGCUCUCUUUGGUGGCCGAGAUAAUAAACAAGAAAAUCAAACUUAUAAAAAAAAAAUUCAAAGUAAGAGCAUAGACAAGCAAAAGAGAAAAACCCCAGAAAGAUUAAGAUUAAGAUUAGAGUAGUGCCUUGUAAGGAUCCAUGGAGGAAGGUCAGGUUAGAGAGAGAGAGAGCUUGAUGGAGAAGGUAAGAGGUGAGCAGAGGAAGGGAGUAAGCCACUAGCUCAGAUGGGCAAUCGAAGGCUGAAAUGCAGGCAAAUUUAUAAUGGUGCUCCCACUUUUGUGUGAAAUUACCAUUUCCAGCUCUCGGCCCCACGUUAUCUUUAUCCACACACAGCUGGAAGGUCACUACAU